GACAGAGGUCCCGAGCGUUAGGCGGAAUCACUGGGCUUAAAGCGUGUGUAGGCGGUUUGGUAAGUACCUUGUGAAAUCCCACGGCUUAACCGUGGAACUGCUUGGUAUACUGCUUAUCUUGGGCCACUUAGGGGCUACCGGAACAAACGGUGGAGCGGUGAAAUGUGUAGAUAUCGGUUGGAACGCCAAUGGUGAAAACAGGUAGCUGGGAGUGUGCCGACGCUGAGACACGAAAGCCAGGGGAGCGAACGGG
rnacentral:rRNA from 1 species